UGGUGGAGUAAAUGAUAGUGAUGGUGAAAAUAUAAGUAAUGAUAAAGCUUACUUCUCAUUGCUCCUCAUAUUGCUACCUCUCCUCUUCUUUGAUCUUUGCUUUGGGAGAACAUGGGCUAUCUUUUUCUUUUCUUUUCUCAGGUGGGUAGUAGAUACCCCUAAUUCUACUGUCGGACACUUGUCCAUUUUUUCCGCUCAAGUGGGUAUCUUUGUACCCCUAAUUCUACUCCGAACACUUGUCCAUUUUUACCUCUCGUCUCACUCUUUUUCUUUCUUUUCCGAGGUUCCGGGCACUUGCCCCUUUUUAUUAGCUCGCAUAUUUUUGCAUAACCCAUGCCUCUUCUGCAUUAAAUCUUUUUAGAGGGAGAGAAUAACAACACUUGGGACAGUGAGUGAUAAUUUUUUUAGCAAUUUUAAUGAUUGGUGGUGGAUGGUGUAGUAGAUGUGUGCAAGUGAAUAUCUUAAUUUAACCACAUGAAAAGCUCCUAAGGGUCUACACAGCUCGAUCAAACUCAAUGUGAAUAUAGUAAAAGAUGUUAUAGGAAAUAUGGCUG
rnacentral:lncRNA from 1 species